CAGACAGACACUGGCAACAUCGCAGACAACCUUCAGGAAGCAAGAAUGAAGUUUCCUCUGUGAUGUCAAGCACUUCAGGGUUGUAGAUGCUGCCAUUGUCAGACGCCUGCUGGAUGACCAGCCCAAAGGAGGAGGGAGAAAUGUUUGGUGUGCUCAGCAGCGUGGCUUUGUUGGCUCCCACUUUGUCUCCAGUCUUGAUCAGCUGCACAUCACUCAGGAUUUCAAUGGUGCCCCUGGAGAUUUUAGUGGUGAUUCCUAAAGCCUGGAAAAAGGAGGUUUUCUCUGGCCCCAGACCAGUGUUCUGGGCUGGCACAGUGACUUCACAUGGGGCAAUGGGACCAGCACAGGUGGCAGCUGGCACCUUACUAGCCAGCAACAUGUCCCUGAUUUCAGUGAGGUCCUCCUUGGUGAACGCAAAGCCCACAUUCUCCCGGAUAUGAAGCAGCGGUUUCUCCAGAGCUGGGUUGUUUUCCAGGUGCCCUCAGAUGGCCGUGAGCAUCAUGGUGUUCUUGUCCAUCAGCACCACGGCCUUCUCUCAGAGGAACAUGCGGAUCUGCUGCGUCUGCUUGGAGCCCACAUUGCUGCUCCCACGAUGAAACAUUUCGGAUAAUCAUCCAAAAGCUGGAUGAUCUUAAAGUAGUUGGACUUCCAGGUCACCCUGUCUUCCCUGAGCAUCACGGCGGUGCAUCAGGGAUUGCCACGCAGGGUUUAAAGACAAUGUCACUUUCAUGAGGAUGCCAAGAGAGAGCUUUUUUUUUUUUUUUUUUUUUUUUUAAUAUAAGAUGUAAUCUCACCCUGUUGCCCAGGCUGGUCUUGAACUCCUGGGCUCAAGCAAUCCUCCCACCUCACCCUCUCCAGUAGCUGGGAUUAUGGGCAUGUAUCACCAAACUUGGCCUCUGAUCCACCUUUUUAUCAGGACCUGGGCAAAGCCACAGAGAACAAGCCCCUCAACUUUGUGAAUAGCAAGGAGCCAGUGAAGACAGGAAUAUGUUGGAAGACAGACUCAGGAUCCAAAAACAUUCUAACCUAUUGGAGCACUGGCCUAAACCUCACAAGGUGAAAUGAACAGGGCUUAACUGAGAGAUCUGGGCUUGGUGCCAAGACACCGACUGUACAAGGACAGGGUGGGGAAGUGGCAGCUUAGCAGAAGCAAGUGUGAAUAAAACUGAGGGUUUUCACUGACAGCCAGCUCCAUCUGAGUCAAAUGACAGUGCUGCCAAUAAAAACGGACAGACUCAGGCUGCUGAACUGAAGUCGGGUACUGAGCCCUGUGGUUCUCCAUCUUGAUAUCACACCAGAACCACCUGCAAAGAUCUGGUAACACUGCAUAUUCCUUGCUGUACCAAGACCCUCUGAAUCAUGAUCUGGGAUGAGUUGAGAGAGAGAAAGGAAGGUGAGGAGUUUGCAUUUCUUUUAUUUUUUUUUUAGAGACAGGUUUCACUCUGUUACCCAGGCUGGUCUCAAGCUCAUGGGCUCAAGCAGUCCUCGUGCCUUGGCCUCCCAAAGUGUUGGGAUUAUAGGCAUGAGUCACUGCGCCCAGCCAGGAGUUUGAGUUUCUAAAAAGUAUCCCCCCUCAUUCCAAGAUGCAUCCAGGGCUUUUGAACCAAGGAACACUCAGUCCCAUUCUCAUUCUCAGCACAACAGACCACACCCAAAAUACUUGAGGAAUUCAGUUUAGGUUGCUUUGUUGCAGGGAAGGUCAUAAGUUGAAGGACAUUUGGUGGAAAGCAGCCAGGAUGCAGGCAACACUCUGAAGGGAACCACUUUAUAGAAGACACAGGUGGCUAGGAGGCCCAACUUCACAUGGAUGAGACUUGUUCUCUGAGGUCCCAAAAGUUAGAAUCUAGGCCAGGUGCGGUGGCUCACACAUGUAAUCUUAGCACUUUGGGGGGCUGAGGGGGGCAAAUCACUUGAGGCCAGGAGCUCAAGACCCUCCUGGCCAACAUGGUGAAACCCCAUCUCUACUAAAAAUAUAAAAAUUAGCCAGGCGCAGUGGCACAUGCCUGUAGUCCCAGCUACUCAAGAGGCUGAGUCAGGAGAAUUGCUUGAACCCGGGAGGUGGACGUUGCAGUGACCCAAGAUUGUGCCACUGCACUUCAGCCUGCGCGACAGAGUGAGACUCUGUCUCAAAAAAAAUUUAAGUAUAUUUUUUUUUAAAGUUAGAAUCUUAGGAGACUGUCUUAGGUCAGGUUUCUCAGGAAACAUGCCGAGAUAGAGAUUUUCUUGUAGGAAGUUUAUUGGGGGUGCUUUCAGAGAUAACAUCUCUGAAGUAGUGAAAGAAUCAGAAUCAAGCCAGAGGAAGAAAUUGGUGAACAAUGCAGUCACAAUACAGAAUGCUUCCACAGGAAGCCCUGGGGUUGAGCUGCCCCUGUAGAGUUAGCCCCAACUUGGAUAAGAGGGCUGUACCUUUGAAUUCCACAUUGACUUGGCAGAUGACUCCUAGGGAAGGGUUGUGAAGUCCAGCAAGACAGCUCCCUUUGGCAGCUGAAGGAAAUGCCAAGGGAGAGACUCAUGUGUGAGCCAUUGGCAGCCAACACUUCUGGCAACUUUGGGGAUAAGCUCCUUGGUCCUAAAAGCAGUAUCUGGGUGGUGCACCACAGCAACCGAGACAGUACCCCCACGCAUAGCCCAGACCUACUUGAUUUAUGUGGUAAGUUCACGCUACCUGGGAAUAGCUCCUCCAGGAUUCUGGGAAACUUACAAGAAUUAAAUGGAGAAACUAUAGCCCCCACUACUGCAACUAGUCUUGGUGACACAACUGAUAUUCAUCAUUCCCCUCCUCUGCCACUCAUUCUAGAUUCUUUUUACCUUCAACUUGCACCUCUGCUGGUCUAGGUGGCUUGCCUGUUGGGGUAACCAAUCACCAAUCACCAUGGCCUUCAGACCAUGCUGCUGAUGUGCCCACCUUCCACCAAAAUUGGGCAUACCAACAGACACCCCAGUGGAUCACCUGGGUGCCAAACAUAUUCUUUUCUGACCCCCUUAUGUAACAGCAGCCCUAUCUCUCCCAAAGGAUCGCGGUCAAUUGCCCUUCCAGGAAGUGACUCCUCUUCUUUCCUGCUGGUUUCUUGGCACAAAGAGUCUGACUAACAGAAAGCAGCCAUACUUAAGUUUAUGGGGUUCUUGUUCUGUCCCUGGUGGAAGUGUUCCCCCUCUGGGAACCAGAUUCUCUGAACCUGGAGAGCUUGGAACUGCAGGAAUGGGAACCACAAAUCCCUCCAGAAAGGUCACUGGGAGUGAUGGUAAGUGGAGUCAUUCCUACUUCUACCCCUAGUUUCCUAAACCUCUAUUCUACACGUUGACACAUAGCACCAUAUAUAAUAGUUAUUGAUUAGGAUGCAUACCUCAUCCUGGAGCACGGUGUCCUAUCAUCUCUAACAUGGUAUUUCAGCUGCACUUCUAAAGGCUGUUCUAUCAUUCCACCAGCUCUAUUCAGCUUCUGGGUGGUGAAGUAUGUAAUAGGCCUAAAAGAUCCCAUGAUCAUGUGCCCAUUCUAUCCUUAAAGUGGGACUCAGUCUUCUGCAAUGGUAUGUGAGAUCCCACAUCAGUGAAUCAAACACUCUUUUAGCCCCCAGAGAGUGGCCUUUGAGCAGAAAAGACAAAUCCAUAUCCAGAAUAUAUGGCAAUUCAGGUCAAGAUGAGUCCCUCACCCUUCUGGAGUGGAACAGGUCCAAGGUAGCCAGCUUGGUACUACGUGGCUGGUAUCAGUUGCUGGCAGGUUGGACUUUUAGCAGUGACAAUAGCUAAAUUGGCCUUGGUGAGUGGGAGCCCAUUCUGUUGAGCCACCCCUGCCACCACACACGUGACACAUGUGUCACCUCCACCUAUGCCACCAUGGCCACUUUAUUCAUGUGCCCAUUGUGCCGGCAUGGGGUGGUCAAUGACAGAGGCAAGCUAACAUCAAUUCCACAUCAUUCUAUCUACUUGGUUAUGCAGCCUCCCCUGUGGCAGGUGCUCUCUGAUGAGUAUUAACAUGCAAUAUCAAGAUCUUCAAUAGUGAGACCUAGCUCUACAAAAAAAA
rnacentral:lncRNA from 1 species